rnacentral:rRNA from 1 species
CCUACGGGAGGCAGCAGUGAGGAAUAUUGGUCAAUGGACGAGAGUCUGAACCAGCCAAGUAGCGUGAAGGAUGACUGCCCUAUGGGUUGUAAACUUCUUUUAUAUGGGAAUAAAACGUUCCACGAGUGGGAUUUUGUAUGUACCAUAUGAAUAAGGAUCGGCUAACUCCGUGCCAGCAGCCGCGGUAAUACGGAGGAUCCGAGCGUUAUCCGGAUUUAUUGGGUUGAAAGGGAGCGUAGGUGGAUUGUUAAGUCAGUUGUGAAAGUUUGCGGGUCAACCGUAAAAUUGCAGUUGAAACUGGCAGUCUUGAGUACAGUAGAGGUGGGCGGAAUUCGUGGUGUAGCGGUGAAAUGCUUAGAUAUCACGAAGAACUCCGAUUGCGAAGGCAGUUCACUGGACUGCAACUGACACUGAGGCUCGAAAGUGUGGGUAUCAAACAGGAUUAGAUACCCCUGUAGUC